GGCAUCGUGGUCGAGUGGUAAGGUCACUUGCCUGUCAUGCAAUUCCGGGUUCAAUCCCCGGUCGAGGAGGUA